GGUGGUAUGUUCAGUGGCUAAGAGCACAGACUUUAACACUAGACUGCCUGGGUUCAAAUCCCAGCUCCACUA
rnacentral:tRNA from 1 species